CGUCUAUAUACGUAUAGCAUAUCAAUAAGCGGAGGAAAAGAAACUAACUAGGAUUCCCUCAGUAACGGCGAGUGAAGCGGGAAGAGCUCAAAUUUGAAAUCUUCAAGGUUCUACCUUGACGAAUUGUAGUUUAAAGAAGUGUUUUCUGUUGGAGUUUUGGUAAAAGUUCUUUGGAAUAGGACAUCAUAGAGGGUGAGAAUCCCGUAUUUGACCAUUAUUUCCAACUUUGUGAUACACUUUCAAAGAGUCGGAUUGUUUGGGAAUGCAGUCCAAAAUGGGUGGUAAAUUUCAUCUAAAGCUAAAUACUGGCGAGAGACCGAUAGCGAACAAGUACCGUGAGGGAAAGAUGAAAAGAACUUUGAAAAGAGAGUUAAACAGUACGUGAAAUUGUCAAAAGGGAAGCGUUUGACACCAGUGUUGUUUUCUCGAAAAUCAAUUAAAAAUGGUGGGAUUUUGUGUUGUAUUGACUUUAUCAGCUUUCUGCACUUUUUUCCUGUCUUUUUUAAUGCACUUUUCGUUUAACAAGUCAACAUCAAUUUCUUUUGUUGUAAAAGGGUCAUUGGAAGGUGGCUUUCUUUUCGGAGAAAGUGUUUAUAGCCUUUGACUUCUGCAAUCGGAGAGAUUGAGGUCUGCAGCGUAGAUCCUUCGGGGUUAGAUACAUUUGUGCUAAGCUAUAGCCUUUCAUAGACAACUUGUUGACUAUGAUCAGUCAUGUAGCUUACUCGCUUAUGUCAUUUUACCUACGCUUAGGAUGUUGACGAUCAGCUGAGCGCG
rnacentral:rRNA from 1 species